UGCCUUACACAUGCAAGUCGAACGGCAGCGGGGGUAGCUUGCUACCUGCCGGCGAGUGGCGAACGGGUGAGUAAUACAUCGGAACGUGCCCUGUAGUGGGGGAUAACUAGUCGAAAGACUGGCUAAUACCGCAUACGACCUGAGGGUGAAAGUGGGGGACCGCAAGGCCUCAUGCUAUAGGAGCGGCCGAUGUCUGAUUAGCUAGUUGGUGGGGUAAAGGCCUAACGAUCAGUAGCUGGUCUGAGAGGACGAUCAGCCACACUGGGACUGAGACACGGCCCAGACUCCUACGGGAGGCAGCAGUGGGGAAUUUUGGACAAUGGGGGCAACCCUGAUCCAGCAAUGCCGCGUGUGUGAAGAAGGCCUUCGGGUUGUAAAGCACUUUUGUCCGGAAAGAAAUCGCUUCGGUUAAUACCUGGAGUGGAUGACGGUACCGGAAGAAUAAGGACCGGCUAACUACGUGCCAGCAGCCGCGGUAAUACGUAGGGUCCAAGCGUUAAUCGUUACUGGGCGUAAAGCGUGCGCAGGCGGUUGUGCAAGACCGAUGUGAAAUCCCCGGGCUUAACCUGGGAAUUGCAUUGGUGACUGCACGGCUAGAGUGUGUCAGAGGGAGGUAGAAUUCCACGUGUAGCAGUGAAAUGCGUAGAGAUGUGGAGGAAUACCGAUGGCGAAGGCAGCCUCCUGGGAUAACACUGACGCUCAUGCAGCGUGGGGAGCAAACAGGAUUAGAUACCCUGGUAGUCCACGCCCUAAACGAUGUCAACUAGUUGUUGGGGAUUCAUUUCCUUAGUAACGUAGCUAACGCGUGAAGUUGACCGCCUGGGGAGUACGGUCGCAAGAUUAAAACUCAAAGGAAUUGACGGGGACCCGCACAAGCGGUGGAUGAUGUGGAUUAAUUCGAUGCAACGCGAAAAACCUUACCUACCCUUGACAUGCCACUAACGAAGCAGAGAUGCAUUAGGUGCUAGAGAAAGUGGACACAGGUGCUGCAUGGCUGUCGUCAGCUCGUGUCGUGAGAUGUUGGGUUAAGUCCCGCAACGAGCGCAACCCUUGUCUCUAGUUGCUACGAAAGGGCACUCUAGAGAGACUGCCGGUGACAAACCGGAGGAAGGUGGGGAUGACGUCAACUCAUGGCCCUUAUGGGUAGGGCUUCACACGUCAUACAAUGGUGCAUACAGAGGGUUGCCAAGCCGCGAGGUGGAGCUAAUCCCAGAAAAUGCAUCGUAGUCCGGAUCGUAGUCUGCAACUCUACGUGAAGCUGGAAUCGCUAGUAAUCGCGGAUCAGCAUGCCGCGGUGAAUACGUUCCCGGGUCUUGUACACACCGCCCGUCACACCAUGGGAGUGGGUUUUGCCAGAAGUAGUUAGCCUAACCGUAAGGGGGGCGAUUACCACGGCAGGGUUCAUGACUGG
rnacentral:rRNA from 1 species